rnacentral:lncRNA from 1 species
UCAACAUAAACUGUCCAACACUUUAGCUUCGUAAUUGGACUCGUUUGCCCUUGUGAUGAGCUAACUACUACAUAUUGUGUGAUGAACAGAAAAAGAAUUUUAGAGGAAAAUGUGUAUUUAUAAUAGCACAUCACAAAACAAAGUAAGUAUCUAUUAAGUAAAAUUUCAAUAAUCUUGUGUGAAUGAUAAUGUUCGAAAUUAAAAAUUACCUGCAAGGUCUGAUGGUUUAUUAAAAGAGCAUUUCACCUUAAAAUCGAUUAGGAUUUGGG